rnacentral:tRNA from 1 species
GGGCCGAUAGCUCAUCUGGUAGAGCGCCGCACUUGCACUGCGGAGGUGGCGGGUUCGAGUCCUGUUCGGUCCACCA